AGUCGUAAGGAGACGUUGAUGAUUUUGCCCCCUCCCACACCCCCACCCUUGGCCAGGACACUGGGCUGAAUUACGGGGUGCCACUGCUCCACAAACUGGCGACCAGUGAUGCUAGAAAUGGGGAUACUGACCAAGCCAAGAACAAGCUACUGGAUGACAAUCAGUCAGGCUUCAAAAGUGGACAUUCCACUGAGACUGCCCUGCUAUCUUUCACAGAGUCACCGAGACAGCCCGAUGACCCAACAGUGUCAUCUCAAAUCUCUGCCCGUUUGGCAGAUAUCUCGGCCUGGAUGAAGGAGCACCACCUGCAACUCAACCUAGCGAAAACUGACCUCCUCAUCUUUCCAGCCAACCCUGCUGAUGAGCACAGCAUCACCGUUCAACUGGUUUAGUCUACAAUAACACCAUCCAAAAUGGUCCGAAAUCUAGGGGUAACCAUUGACAACCAACUCAAUUUCACCGACCACAUCUCAAAGACCAUGUAGAUUCUCACUCUACAACAUCCUUCCUCUCUGAACAUGACAUACAACUCCUUGUUUUCUCACUUGUCAUGUCUAGACUGGAUUAUUGUAACACUCUCAUUGUCUGCCUUCCUACAUGUGCAAUUAGGCCUCUGCAAAUGAUCCAGAAUGCAGCAGCACAUCUGGUCUUCAACGAACAAAAUAAAACAAAUGUUACACCACUCCUUGUCUCUCUAAACUGGCUGCCAGUUGCUGCACGUAUCAAGUUCAAGUCUCUGAAGCUGGCAUACAGAACAGACCCUGGAUCUGCUCCAGCUUACCUAAAAUCAUUCCUGCAGAGCUAAGUUCCCACCAGAAGCCUGCGGUCGGCUAAUGAGUGGCAUCUUGUUGUACCAACACAAAAAGGCACCAAAUCACUUUUCCAGACUUUCGGCUUCACUGUACCUCUGUGGUGGAAUGACCUUCCCAACUCCAUCUGUGAAGCAGAUUCCAACAAAUUCUCUAUCCUUAAAAAAAAAAAAGGCUAAAGACACAUCUUUUCCAUGAGCACUU